rnacentral:rRNA from 1 species
GACGAACGCUGGCGGCGUGCUUAACACAUGCAAGUCGAACGGAAAGGCCUCUUUCGGGGGGUACUCGAGUGGCGAACGGGUGAGUAACACGUGAGUAACCUGCCCUUGACUUUGGGAUAACUUCAGGAAACUGGGGCUAAUACCGGAUAGGAGCUCCUGCUGCAUGGGGGGGGUUGGAAAGUUUCGGCGGUUGGGGAUGGGCUCGCGGCUUAUCAGCUUGUUGGUGGGGUAGUGGCUUACCAAGGCUUUGACGGGUAGCCGGCCUGAGAGGGUGACCGGCCACAUUGGGACUGAGAUACGGCCCAGACUCCUACGGGAGGCAGCAGUGGGGAAUAUUGCACAAUGGGUGGAAGCCUGAUGCAGCAACGCCGUGUGCGGGAGGACGGCCUUCGGGUUGUAAACCGCUUUCGCUCAUGACGAAGCUUUGUGUGACGGUAGUGGGUAAAGAAGCACCGGCUAACUACGUG